rnacentral:rRNA from 1 species
UACGGGGGGGGCUAGCGUUGCUCGGAAUCACUGGGCGUAAAGCGCACGUAGGCGGACUCUUAAGUCGGUGGUGAAAUCCUGGAGCUCAACUCCAGAACUGCCUUCGAUACUGAGAGUCUCGAGUCCGGGAGAGGUGAGUGGAACUGCGAGUGUAGAGGUGAAAUUCGUAGAUAUUCGCAAGAACACCAGUGGCGAAGGCGGCUCACUGGCCCGGUACUGACGCUGAGGUGCGAAAGCGUGGGGAGCAAACAGG